ensembl:lncRNA
AUGGCUCAAGUGGGCUGGAGUUGGGUAUUUCCCUUCCCAAGGUCAGUUAGGCUGUGAUAAUACCCCAGCAGGUUAGGCUCUGAUUAACUAGUUUCACUUGAGGGCAGGCCUUAUUAAGAAGAACAGAGCACUCUGACCUAUUUCAAAAUGGUUCCUUUUCCCUUCUCCUUGCAGGAAGCAGGAAGGGAUUUUUUUCUCACAUAUUUACUGUGCGAACCUGGCCGAGCUCCUGGAGAUAUAUCUCACAGUAUUGUGGGGAGCCCUCUUAUGACUGCCUCUUCCUGGAGUUUUUAAUUCUCAGAGUUGUAUACCCUGAGCCUUCAGCAACUUGUCGAUUAUAGCUCCAGUUUUUCUAUUCUGUACUUGUUCCAAUGGGAGUUUCUGCUGUUGAGUCUCUGCUUUGUUUGAAAUAAUUUCAAGCCUACAAAUAGUCCUGAGAAUUAUCAAAGAAAUACAAACCAGCCUUUCAGAAUCUGGAUAAACUAUGAAAUCCUGCAUUAUACAGAAUGUCAAACAGACAUAAAAGCCAGCAGAGCAUCAACUGUGGAGCUUAGGAAUCAUCUCAGAAAGAAGUUUACAAUGAAAAUCUUGCUGAGUCCAGAGUCUGAAAGAACUGAAGACUACGGUCGUUUUGACCACAGGAGGAGUCAUUGUCUGAGCCAAAGGACCAUGGGGGCAACUUUGAACCAGGAUAAGUACGAAAGUUGACUAAUACUCAAACUGAUGAGGGUAAGAAUGUGCCUAUCUUUUUUUUUCUUUUAUUAUACUUUCAAAACGUAACACAGCACCUGGCUCAGAGUGGACCCUCCACGAAUAUUACUGAAUAAAUUACUCUCUCAGGCAGAUACACCUUUCACCAAGGACUAUGGUGGAUUAAAAGAGAGACUAUAGAUGUGAAACCAAAAGAACUUGAAAUCAAGGCACACAUUAGUAUUUACUAACUUUGUAACAGUCAAAAAAUUGUAUAAUAUGCUUCAGCCUCUUUAUCCGAAAUAAUUCUUACCUUUCAUUGCUCUAAAGAUUGAAUGGGAAAAUUUAAGAAAAUACAUAAUUAGAAAAAAUGUCAAUUCCUGUUUGAAGUCAUCUGCUCACAAAAAAAAAUGAAAGCAAAAACAGUUUUAAAUUCUUAUAAUCAAGUGUUAAUAUCAGAGCUUCUUUUAGUUCUUUCAACAUCACUGAUAUUUUUGUCCCUAUUUGUCAUGGUCUUUAUGUUUUCUUUUGGGAGGGGUGGAAUUCAUUAAUCUGAAAUAUUCUUUUUCCACUCAAUUGACCUUAAGUUGCUAAAGAGUAUAUUUUAAGUUAGAUGUAAAGAACUUCUUGUAUUUUUUUAUUAGAAUGAGUUAAAUAUCUUAAACAAUUUCUAUUACCUGUGACAUUACUGAAGAUACAAAAUUCUUUACCAUAUCAACAGAUAGCAUAACUUCUGAAGAUACAGCUAACUUGUGGUUUAGAUUAUGCUAUGAUCUGAAUGUUUGUGUUUCCCCAAAAUUCACGUUGAAAUCCUAACCUCCAAAGGUGAUGGUAUUAGUAGAUGGGGCCUUUGGGAGAUGAUUAGGUCAGAGGAUGGAGCCCUCAUGCAAUUGCUUGUAUUAUGAUAGAGCUCCCUAGCUGCUUUCACCACUGCGGGUACAACAAGAAGUCUGCAACUCAGAAGAGGGCCAUCACCUGACCAUGUCGGCACCCUGAUCUUGGACUUCCCAGCCCCCAGAACAGAUCUUGGCCUCUGGAUUUGUCUGCCUCAAUAGUUCUCCAGGCCCAUCAACCAGGGUCCAGCCCUGUGGCCAAGUGGUUAAGUUCACGCGCUCCACUCGGGCAACCCAAGGUUUCGCGAGUUCGGAUCCUGGGUGCAGACAUGGCACCUUUCAUCAGCUCAUGUUUAGGCAGCAUCCCACAUAGCACAACCAGAGGCACUCACAACUAGAAUAUACAACUAU